rnacentral:rRNA from 1 species
UACGUAGGGUGCGAGCGUUAAUCGGAAUUACUGGGCGUAAAGCGUGCGCAGGCGGCUUUGCAAGACAGAUGUGAAAUCCCCGGGCUUAACCUGGGAACUGCAUUUGUGACUGCAAGGCUAGAGUCCGGAAGAGGAGAAUGGAAUUCCUGGUGUAGCGGUGAAAUGCGCAGAUAUCAGGAAGAACACCCGUGGCGAAGGCGGUUCUCUGGGACGGUACUGACGCUGAGACGCGAAAGCGUGGGGAGCGAACAGG